rnacentral:rRNA from 1 species
GAAUCUGUCCGUUGGUCGGGCUUCAUUGUCCGUACUGGUGUGAUGGGUUCUUACCUUCUGAAUAACCAGCAUGCCAUUCAUUUGGUGCGUUGGGGAAGCAGGACUAUUACCUUGAAAAAAUUAGAGUGCUCAAAGCAGGCUAGUGCCUGAAUACAUUAGCAUGGAAUAGUAAAAUAGGACGGCAUGGUUCUAUUUCGUUGGUUUCUAGGAUCACCGUA